UACGUAGGUGGCAAGCGUUGUCCGGAAUUAUUGGGCGUAAAGCGCGCGCAGGUGGUUCCUUAAGUCUGAUGUGAAAGCCCACGGCUCAACCGUGGAGGGUCAUUGGAAACUGGGGAACUUGAGUGCAGAAGAGGAAAGUGGAAUUCCAAGUGUAGCGGUGAAAUGCGUAGAGAUGUGGAGGAACACCAGUGGCGAAGGCGACUUUCUGGUCUGUAACUGACACUGAGGCGCGAAAGCGUGGGGAGCGAACAGGAUUAGAAACCCCGGUAGUCC
rnacentral:rRNA from 1 species